rnacentral:rRNA from 1 species
CCUACGGGAGGCAGCAGUGGGGAAUAUUGGACAAUGGGCGCAAGCCUGAUCCAGCAAUGCCGCGUGAGUGAUGAAGGCCUUAGGGUUGUAAAGCUCUUUCGCACGCGACGAUGAUGACGGUAGCGUGAGAAGAAGCCCCGGCUAACUUCGUGCCAGCAGCCGCGGUAAUACGAAGGGGGCUAGCGUUGUUCGGAAUUACUGGGCGUAAAGGGCGCGUAGGCGGCCUGUUUAGUCAGAAGUGAAAGCCCCGGGCUCAACCUGGGAAUAGCUUUUGAUACUGGCAGGCUUGAGUUCCGGAGAGGAUGGUGGAAUUCCCAGUGUAGAGGUGAAAUUCGUAGAUAUUGGGAAGAACACCGGUGGCGAAGGCGGCCAUCUGGACGGACACUGACGCUGAGGCGCGAAAGCGUGGGGAGCAAACAGGAUUAGAUACCCCGGUAGUCCACGCCGUAAACGAUGAAUGCUAGACGUCGGGGUGCAUGCACUUCGGUGUCGCCGCUAACGCAUUAAGCAUUCCGCCUGGGGAGUACGGCCGCAAGGUUAAAACCUCAAAAGUAGUAGUACGGACGNGUAGACGUACGCCGACGACGACACCGAGGGAGGUAGG